CCUACGGGUGGCAGCAGUGAGGAAUAUUGGUCAAUGGACGAGAGUCUGAACCAGCCAAGUAGCGUGAAGGAUGACUGCCCUAUGGGUUGUAAACUUCUUUUAUAUGGGAAUAAAAUGUUCCACGUGUGGGAUUUUGUAUGUACCAUAUGAAUAAGGAUCGGCUAACUCCGUGCCAGCAGCCGCGGUAAUAUGGAGGAUCCGAGCGUUAUCCGGAUUUAUUGGGUUUAAAGGGAGCGUAGGUGGAUUGUUAAGUCAGUUGUGAAAGUUUGCGGCUCAACCGUAAAAUUGCAGUUGAAACUGGCAGUCUUGAGUACAGUAGAGGUGGGCGGAAUUCGUGGUGUAGCGGUGAAAUGCUUAGAUAUCACGAAGAACUCCGAUUGCGAAGGCAGUUCACUGGACUGCAACUGACACUGAGGCUCGAAAGUGUGGGUAUCAAACAGGAUUAGAUACCCGUGUAGUC
rnacentral:rRNA from 1 species